GAGGUAAUUUGAUAUCUAGAUUAUUUUGAUACUUUGCUUCUAGUAGAAAGAAAAACAAAGUAGUUCAUAUUAUAUGUUGUAAAAAGACAUGCAUGGAUUUACAUUGAAGGACGGGAAUCACAAUACGUUUAUCAUUGUAGAGUCGAAGUUUACUCUUUGGGCAGAUAAUUUCUUAGGUUAAUGCAACAAAAGGUCAGAUGUUUGCUACUCUAUUUGAAAAUCAAACCAAUACACAGAUGGCAUCAUUAUCUAGAUAUUGGUGUCUUGAUUGAAAAAGAAAUACAAAGCUAAGAAGGAAAGCUAAGUUAAUAAAUAUAGGCUUCUUUAGUUUCUUUCUCCCUGGAUCACUACCAUUAAC
rnacentral:misc_RNA from 1 species